CCCCCAAGCGGUGGAGCAUGUGGUUUAUUCGAUGCAACGCGAAGAACCUUACCUACUCUUGACAUCCAGAGAACUUAGCAGAGAUGCUUUGGUGCCUUCGGGAACUCUGAGACAGGUGCUGCAUGGCUGUCGUCAGCUCGUGUUGUGAAAUGUUGGGUUAAGUCCCGCAACGAGCGCAACCCUUAUCCUUUGUUGCCAGCGGUUCGGCCGGGAACUCAAAGGAGACUGCCAGUGAUAAACUGGAGGAAGGUGGGGAUGACGUCAAGUCAUCAUGGCCCUUACGAGUAGGGCUACACACGUGCUACAAUGGCAUAUACAAAGAGAAGCGACCUCGCGAGAGCAAGCGGACCUCAUAAAGUAUGUCGUAGUCCGGAUUGGAGUCUGCAACUCGACUCCAUGAAGUCGGAAUCGCUAGUAAUCGUAGAUCAGAAUGCUACGGUGAAUACGUUCCCGGGCCUUGUACACACCGCCCGUA
rnacentral:rRNA from 1 species